rnacentral:tRNA from 1 species
CCUGGUGGCUCAGAGGGUAAAGCGUCUGCCUGCAAUGCAGGAAACCUGGGUUCGAUCCCUGGGUCAGGA